UAAUGUGGUAGUUUCUGUAUUUGGCAGAUCUGUAAUUGUAUCAGAGCGGCCUUAAACUACCACAGAGAUCAGAAAGGAGAAGGCUGAGCUGAGAACUUUUCAAGCUUUUUGGUUUUCAGCUUUUUGUUCAGCUCCUACAGAA
rnacentral:snoRNA from 1 species